rnacentral:misc_RNA from 1 species
GAUGAAGAACGUAGCGAAAUGCGAUACGUAAUGUGAAUUGCAGAAUUCAGUGAAUCAUCGAGUCUUUGAACGCACAUUGCGCCCCCUGGUAUUCCGGGGGGCAUGCCUGUCCGAGCGUCAUUGCUGCCCUCAAGCACGGCUUGUGUGUUGGGCUUCCGUCCCUGGCAACGGGGACGGGCCCAAAAGGCAGUGGCGGCACCAUGUCUGGUCCUCGAGCGUAUGGGGCUUUGUCACCCGCUCCCGUAGGUCCAGCUGGCAGCUAGCCUCGCAACCAAUCUUUUUAACCAGGUUGACCUCGGAUCAGGUAGGGAUACCCGCUGAACUUAAGCAUAUCAAUAAGCGGAGA